rnacentral:lncRNA from 1 species
AGCACAGCCUACUACACACCCAGGCUGUAGGCUGUGCUUCUAGACUACAAACCUGUACAGUGUGGUACUGAACACUGUAGGCAACUGUAACACAAUGGUGUACCUAAUUCCUCUGCCUAGAAAGUGUGCUGGAAUUACUGCCUGGCUUCUGAUGAAUAGGGCGUAUUGAGAGUGAUGCUUUGUGAGUUCUGAGGCUAGGUCAUAGAAAGGAUUGAACUUAUUCCUGAAUGUUGCUCUUGGAUCACUUGCUUUUUUGGGAACCACCAGCCAUGUCAUGAGGACACUCAAGCAACCCUGCAGAGAAGCACAUGUGUGGAGAGGCACUUCUUGGAAAGGAGGCCAACUUGCCAGAACCAACUAAUUUGUCAUGUGAGUGAGUCAUUUUGGAAGCAGAUCCUCUACCCUCAGUCAGGCCUUCCGAUGAUUUCAGCCCCCAGCCUUUGAGUCUGCCCCAAACACCAUGAGUAGAGACAAGCCCUUCCCACUGUGUCCACCCUGGCUGAAUUCCAGACCGUUAAAAAAACAAGAGAAAAUAAAUUAUUAUUAGUGUUUUGAGUCACUAAGUUUUGGACUAAUUUGUUAUGCAGCAAUAGCUAACAACUACAGAGUCAUAACACAAACUAAAAUUAAUUCUAAGGCAUGUUAAAGAUUUAUAUGAAAGCAUUCAUCUAAUGGAGGUGUGCAAGAAGUGGCUAUAAAAAAUUUAGGGCACCCAAAAGCAACCUGUAGGCUGAGCAGGGUAAGUACAUCUGCAAGAGCAGCCAGAUGGCUAGUUGGUCCCUGUGUGCAGCCUCUCUACCCA